GAUCCUGGCUUAGGAUGAACGCUAGCGACAGGCUAACACAUGGCAAGUCGAGGGGCAGCAUAGAAGUAGCAAUACGUUGGUGGCGACCGGCGCACGGGUGAGUAACGCGUAUGCAACCUACCUAUCAGAGGGGAAUAACCCGGCGAAAGUCGGACUAAUACCGCAUAAAACAGGGGCACCGCAUGGUGAUAUUUGUUAAAGAAAUUCGCUGAUAGAUGGGCAUGCGUUCCAUUAGGUAGUUGGUGAGGUAACGGCUCACCAAGCCGACGAUGGAUAGGGGAACUGAGAGGUUGGUCCCCCACACUGGUACUGAGACACGGACCAGACUCCUACGGGAGGCAGCAGUGAGGAAUAUUGGUCAAUGGGCGAGAGCCUGAACCAGCCAAGUCGCGUGAAGGAAGAAGGAUCUAUGGUUCGUAAACUUCUUUUGCAGGGGAAUAAAGUGCAGGACGUGUCCUGUUUUGUAUGUACCCUGAGAAUAAGGAUCGGCUAACUCCGUGCCAGCCGCUGC
rnacentral:rRNA from 1 species